GCUGCCUGAUGUGGCUAAGGCUGUCCCAUGGGUACCCUGGAAUAGGGCCGGGUGGUUGCACGGACAGAAGCCCCUAGAAGCCAGGGGCAGGACCCCGCACCCAAGUGAGACCCUGCUCCCUCCUCACAUUGCAGCCCCUAAGCAGGGGCUCCCUGGGGGUGGGCACAGUGGCUGGGUACUCUGUGUUAGAGGCCACCCUGGCCCUCUGCUCCUGACCUGCAGCCAUGUCAGAGGUCCACCCUGACCCUCUCUGCUCCACAUCUUUAGCCAUGUCAGAGGUCCACCCUGACCCUCUGCUCCUCACCUGCAGCCAUGUCAGAGGCCCGCCCUGACCCUCUGUUUCAUGCCUCUAGCCAGCAGCCCCUCGCAUGACUCAGGCACGGGGCCACCUCUUGGCCCUAACCUCCUUCCACGGUAGACACCCCCGUCCUUCCACAGUAGACGCCCCCAUCCUAACAAAGCGGCGGCUCUCCAUGCGCCUCAGAGCCCGUCUCUCUCCGCGCCGGUGAGAACCUGCUCUCACGCGGGGAGCAGGUCGGAAGGGUCUGAACCAUGAGGAAACUGAGGUGUCACACCCGGAGGGCAUCCCAGGAGGAGGAGGGCUCUCUUUCUAGGACCCCCCCA
rnacentral:lncRNA from 1 species